UACGUAGGGUGCAAGCGUUAUCCGGAAUUAUUGGGCGUAAAGAGCUCGUAGGCGGUUUGUCACGUCUGCUGUGAAAACUGGAGGCUCAACCUCCAGCCUGCAGUGGGUACGGGCAGACUAGAGUGCGGUAGGGGAGAUCGGAACUCCUGGUGUAGCGGUGAAAUGCGCAGAUAUCAGGAGGAACACCGGUGGGCGAAAGGCGGAUCUCUGGGC
rnacentral:rRNA from 1 species